AAGCACAAGAUUGACUCCAUUGACAAAGAAAACCAUUCAUACAGCUACACCUUGAUCGAAGGAGAUGCUUUGGGAGACAAUCUUGAGAAGAUCUCGUACGAGACCAAGUUGGUGGCAUCCCCCAGCGGAGGAUCCAUCAUCAAGAGCACCAGCCACUACCACACCAAGGGAGAUGUUGAGAUCAAGGAAGAGCAUGUCAAGGCCGGCAAAGAGAAGGCCUCAAAUCUCUUCAAGCUCAUUGAGACCUACCUUAAGGGCCACCCCGAUGCCUACAACUAAAUUGAUCAGAUGUCUCUGUGAUGCUUGGGUCUUGCCUUUACUAUAUGAUCAGUCGAAGGAGAUUUGUGUGGCUUUUCUUGUUGCUUUCUAGUCAGUCCAAAGUAGCCAUAGGGUUGUUGGGCA
rnacentral:lncRNA from 1 species